rnacentral:lncRNA from 1 species
GUCAAAUUGCGAUCAACUUGCUGGGUAAACGUUUGGGCAAGAGAGGGCCGAAUGACUCUCAAAGGAAGCUUCCAGCCCCGCUCUGGGUCUUAUUACCGCUGUAACAGUGGGAGCCAUUCGAAGCAGCUCUGAGUGCCUGCUCCAGAGAUGAUGGUGUCACCGGCAGCCAGCUCUUCAGAGAUCCCUGUCCAGAUGGCCUGGAUGGACGCAUCCCACACAAAUGGCAGACUGGCUUUCAGUAACUAGUACUUUCUGUUUCCUUCUGCGAUGCUUUCUGCUCUUCACCUGAAUAGCAAGCAGCCAUAUAUUUUUUAAGGUACUUCUUAAGCCUUCCUCUCUGCACCCUUCCCUGCUCACGCAGGAGUUGGGUCAUUUCCCCUCAUGUUUUCCCUCCUGUUCUUGCUUUAAGUGUGGCCCUGGCCACAACCACAUUUUGAUGUUCCCCGUUCUUGUGGCAUCUGUAGUCACACUGCCUGGGCUCCUAUUCUGACCCUCGUCACUCAACAACAGUAGCCUCGUUUGUCUAGCAGAGGUGGCAGUGUGGUUUUACCCUCUGGAGCCUUUGGAUUAGAUGAGAUACUCCUUAGUGCCCGCUAAGGCAGUGUUCCACAGGGUCACAACAUGGCUGCUUCUCUUCAGACCCACGAGCUGCCUAAGAGCAGGGGAGGGCUCCUUACUGACCCUGUCUUCCCUCACUCCCGCCUUCUUGCCUUCUCACUCUCUUUUUCCCU